UACGUAGGUGGCAAGCGAUACUCGGAAUCACUAGCGUAAAGCGCAGGUAGGAGGUUUAGUAAGUCUGUUGUGAAAGCCCCCGGCUCAACUGGGGAGGGUCAUUCGAUACUGAUCGACUCGAAGGCAGGAGAGGGUAGUGGAAUUCCCGGUGUAGUGGUGAAAUGCGUAGAUAAUCGAGAGGAACACCAGUGGCGAAGGCGACUACCUGGCCUGUUCUUGACGCUGAGGCGCGAAAGCUAGGGGAGCAAACGGG
rnacentral:rRNA from 1 species